UUUUUUUUUUUUUUGAGAACAGCACAUCUUUGUCAUUAAGCAGUAUGUUUUGCCCUUUUUUUGCAUUCCUUGUUCCUUUCUUAUCAUGUUUCUUUCCCUCUUCCUUUGGAUAAGAUCUUUUGACUGAUCUUCUUUUUUGAGGAAGAUCUUUUGACUGAUCAACUUGCUAAAAUCUCAGGUUUUUUUUUUUUUUGGAGAGGUGUGGGAGAACCCAACUACUCAUCAAUUUUAUUCAGAGUAAAAAAGUUUAGGAAUUUACAAAGAGAGAUUACAAGGUAAUGUAUCCUAGCUCAUUACAAAAUGUAGAACUAAUAAAGCUGAUCAGAAAUAAAAGAUCCAAAAUAAGAUAAGGAGGAGACUUAGUUGAAUCCAUCUGGAAGUAAGGAAACCAAGAAAUCUCAGAUUCUCUUGGAACUCAAUAUUACUACAAAUACGCUCUCUAAGUGCAUUUAACUCAAUCUACUUCCAUAAGCUAAUCAGUGGUUAAAAACCAUGAUGCUUUUUUUUUUCCUGAAAAAAAAGGAUGCUGACGCUGAAAGACAAAUCUUACAUAUCUCCACAUAUAUAAUUAUCUAACCAACCCAUGUAGAAAAAAUGUUAGUGCAGCA
rnacentral:lncRNA from 1 species